rnacentral:rRNA from 1 species
GACAGAGGAGCCAAGCGUUGUCCGGAAUUAUUGGACGUAAAGAGCUCGUAGGCGGCUUGUCGCGUCGUCUGUGAAAUCCCGCGGCUCAACCGCGGGUCUGCAGUCGAUACGGGCAGGCUAGAGUUCGGUAGGGGAGACUGGAAUUCCUGGUGUAGCGGUGAAAUGCGCAGAUAUCAGGAGGAACACCGGUGGCGAAGGCGGGUCUCCUGGGCCGAUGACUGACGCUGGAGGCGCGAAAGCCAGGGGAGCGAACGGG